rnacentral:tRNA from 1 species
AAAGUUAGUUAAGCCUAUAAUAUAAGAUUGUCAAUCUUAUGUCACUGAUCACACAGUACUUUUUA